GCAUCGUUCAUGUUUUUGAGUAGCCUACAGGACGCGCUAACAACAUGGAGCUUUUUGGACAUAAAUUAUGAGCUUUUUCAAACAAAACUACAUUUGUUAUGGACCUGGGAUUCCUGGAAGUGCCUUCUGAUGAAGAUAAUCAAAGGGUCUUGCAGCACCGGUCUAGGUCUGCACCCUGGCUGUCUGCCUGUUCUCCAGAGCUGGCCUGCCUACAUCACCUACGUGUCUGACAUAGUCCGAGACCUGCAGGAGAGUGAGAAGAGGAGGGGAGAGAACUCUACCUGUGUCACUCAGACCGCAUGGGCGUCACCCCACCGCCAACAAGUCACAGGAGUGGCAGAUCAAGGCACCCUGACAACCCAUAGGUUGUUUCCAUGGCAACUAGACCAACAGGUCAUCUCCAGUCUCAGUGGAUGAAUAACUCAUCCUCUCCAGCGUCCUGCACAAAGUUUGACAUAUACAGCAACACACAAUCCCUUUCUUCUCCUCCUUCCAGUCUGCUGUCCAUCCCUCUCUCUCUUAGUUCCUGGUCCCCUCCCCUGACCUCUCCUUCUUCUGCCCCUCCGCCUCCUCUUUCUGAUAGUUCAGCCCCUUAGCGCCCUUCUUCUCCUCCAGCCUCCCUUCUUCC
rnacentral:lncRNA from 1 species